UAACGGCGAGUGAAGCGGCAAAAGCUCAAAUUUGAAAUCUGGCUCUAUUUUGGGGUCCGAAUUGUAAUUUGAAGAAGCGACUUUGGACCUGGCUCUUGUCUAUGUUCCUUGGAACAGGACGUCACAGAGGGUGAGAAUCCCGUGCGAUGAGAAGCCCAGGUUCGUGUAAAGCGUUUUCGACGAGUCGAGUUGUUUGGGAAUGCAGCUCUAAGUGGGUGGUAGAUUCCAUCUAAAGCUAAAUAUUGGCGAGAGACCGAUAGCGAACAAGUACAGUGAUGGAAAGAUGAAAAGAACUUUGAAAAGAGAGUGAAAAAGUACGUGAAAUUGUUGAAAGGGAAGGGCUUGAGAUCAGACUUUGUUUUUCCAUGGCGCUCUUUCGGGGGUGUCCUCUGGGUCUACAGGGCCAGCAUGGGUUUUGCGUGCGAGACAAGGACUCAGGAAUGUGGCUCUGCUUCGGUGGAGUGUUAUAGCCUGGGGUACUGGUCGCCAUGCGGGACCGAGGACUGCGGUACUAGGAUGCUGGCAUAAUGAUCUUAAGCCGC
rnacentral:rRNA from 1 species